rnacentral:rRNA from 1 species
CCGCGUGAAGGAUGAAGGUCCUCUGGAUUGUAAACUUCUUUUAUAUGGGACGAAACCCGGGUAAUCCUACCCGAUUGACGGUACCAUAGGAAUAAGCACCGGCUAACUCCGUGCCAGCAGCCGCGGUAAUACGGAGGGUGCAAGCGUUAUCCGGAUUCACUGGGUUUAAAGGGUGCGUAGGAGGGUAGGUAAGUCAGUGGUGAAAUCUCCGGGCUCAACUCGGAAACUGCCGUUGAUACUAUCUGUCUUGAAUACCGUGGAGGUGAGCGGAAUAUGUCAUGUAGCGGUGAAAUGCUUAGAUAUGACAUAGAACACCGAUUGCGAAGGCAGCUCACUACACGCAUAUUGACUCUGAGGCACGAAAGCGUGGGGAUCAAACAGGAUUAGAUACCCUGGUAGUCCACGCCCUAAACUAUGGAUACUCGACAUACGCGAUACACUGUGUGUGUCUGAGCGAAAGCAUUAAGUAUCCCACCUGGGAAGUACGACCGCAAGGUUG